rnacentral:rRNA from 1 species
AUUGAGCGCUAGCGGGAUGCUUUACACAUGCAAGUCGAACGGCAGCGCGGACUUCGGUCUGGCGGCGAGUGGCGAACGGGUGAGUAAUGUAUCGGAACGUGCCCAGUAGCGGGGGAUAACUACGCGAAAGCGUAGCUAAUACCGCAUACGCCCUACGGGGGAAAGCAGGGGAUCGUAAGACCUUGCACUAUUGGAGCGGCCGAUAUCGGAUAGCUAGUUGGUGAGGUAACGGCUCACCAAGGCGACGAUCCGUAGCUGGUUUGAGAGGACGACCAGCCACACUGGGACUGAGACACGGCCCAGACUCCUACGGGAGGCAGCAGUGGGGAAUUUUGGACAAUGGGGGCAACCCUGAUCCAGCCAUCCCGCGUGUGCGAUGAAGGCCUUCGGGUUGUAAAGCACUUUUGGCAGGAAAGAAACGUCGCGGGCUAAUACCCCGUGGAACUGACGGUACCUGCAGAAUAAGCACCGGCUAACUACGUG